rnacentral:antisense_RNA from 10 species
UGUAAAUACGCUCCUUUGCGUGUUAUAAAGUGGACAUAGAGAAAGAUUCUUUGCGGGAUAGUUCUCUAUGUCUUUUAUUGUACCA